rnacentral:rRNA from 1 species
UCCUCCCUCUUUCUUCGUGCUUAACACAUGCAAGUCGAACGGAAAGGCCCUGCUUUUGUGGGGUGCUCGAGUGGCGAACGGGUGAGUAACACGUGAGUAACCUGCCCUUGACUUUGGGAUAACUUCAGGAAACUGGGGCUAAUACCGGAUAGGAGCUCCUGCUGCAUGGUGGGGGUUGGAAAGUUUCGGCGGUUGGGGAUGGACUCGCGGCUUAUCAGCUUGUUGGUGGGGUAGUGGCUUACCAAGGCUUUGACGGGUAGCCGGCCUGAGAGGGUGACCGGCCACAUUGGGACUGAGAUACGGCCCAGACUCCUACGGGAGGCAGCAGUGGGGAAUAUUGCACAAUGGGCGGAAGCCUGAUGCAGCAACGCCGCGUGCGGGAUGACGGCCUUCGGGUUGUAAACCGCUAUCGCCUGUGACGAAGCGUGAGUGACGGUAAUGGGUAAAGAAGCACCGGCUAACUACGUG